rnacentral:rRNA from 1 species
ACGGGUGAGUAAUGUCUGGGAAACUGCCUGAUGGAGGGGGAUAACUACUGGAAACGGUAGCUAAUACCGCAUAACGUCGCAAGACCAAAGAGGGGGACCUUCGGGCCUCUUGCCAUCAGAUGUGCCCAGAUGGGAUUAGCUAGUAGGUGGGGUAACGGCUCACCUAGGCGACGAUCCCUAGCUGGUCUGAGAGGAUGACCAGCCACACUGGAACUGAGACACGGUCCAGACUCCUACGGGAGGCAGCAGUGGGGAAUAUUGCACAAUGGGCGCAAGCCUGAUGCAGCCAUGCCGCGUGUAUGAAGAAGGCCUUCGGGUUGUAAAGUACUUUCAGCGGGGAGGAAGGCGUUGUGGUUAAUAACCACAGCGAUUGACGUUACCCGCAGAAGAAGCACCGGCUAACUCCGUGCCAGCAGCCGCGGUAAUACGGAGGGUGCAAGCGUUAAUCGGAAUUACUGGGCGUAAAGCGCACGCAGGCGGACUGUCAAGUCGGAUGUGAAAUCCCCGGGCUCAACCGGGGAACUGCAUUCGAAACUGGCAGGCUAGAGUCUUGUAGAGGGGGGUAGAAUUCCAGGUGUAGCG